ACUAUUCCAUAUGCACAGUGUGUCUCCUCAUUUUCUUUUAGUGGACUUAUUAUGGAAGAAAAUAGGUUGUGUUAGUUAUUUUAUUUUUCUAGGCUACAUGAAAUGAAGAGGACACAGAGAUCAGCUUUUAAAGAUUUAUGCAAACUUCUGAGUAAACUCAAAAGCAAGAACUCAGGAAAUUAACAAAGGGUGACCUUCCCAAACAAGUAAAUGUAAAACUUAUGGUGGUCAAGGGAAUAAUCUAAAUUAAUAAUCUUUAUGUCGCCAAAAUCUUUACCUUUCUCUGAAACAUUCAUUGUGUUUUUCAGCUAAUAUUGAAGAAAAAUAUGACUCGCUGGAAAUGGAGGGUGAGUACCCCUUAUGCCCUAAGUAACAAGACACCACAUCCUCUCUCAGCUACCCACUAUUCCUACAGGUUCAGUCAUCUGAGGAAUGAUUCUUAGCUCUAUGCAAUCUCCUUGGCCCUUCCUUAGUUCUCUGGUGACCUCCAUCCUUCUCCUGUCACCAUAUUGCAUUGAGUAUUACUGUGGUAUUCAGAUGUCUGAACAGAGAGAGACUUAGCUUUCUCAGGAUUUCUCCUGAGAGAAGCUGUGAGAGAAGCAGAAAAAGAAGAACUGUUCUUAUCUCACUUGGUGUUCCUGGUUGUUGUGCACAUGUGGAUUGUGUCAUGGAGAUUGUUUACCAAAGAGUGAUUUGUUAAUUGGACUCUGCUGAUGGUUGUUUGGAUUCAUUGACCAAUUGGAUCCACGUGUGUGUCGGGACUCUCGGCAGAGAGAGUCAUAGGUUUUCUAGUUAGAGUUAGUGAUAGUUCUUGUUAGUGUAAUAUAGUUUUAGUAUAAUAUAGUAUAACAAAGUAAUUAAUUAGCCUUCUGAAAUCACUGGAGUCGGAGCACAUCAUUCUUCCCACUGGUUGGAAACCGUGUUUACUCUACAUAACCACUUAAUGCACUUAAGUAGCAUAAAGCAGCCAACAAAAGAGAGUGUUUAGACAGACAAACAAUGUGUUUGAAAGUCAGUUCAGAGAAAAGCAUCUGUCAGACAAGAGCAUCUAAGCUUACUCUCUUCAGCUUUCCCUGGGACUUGUUUGACCUUAGGAAGGUUUCCAGUACUUUGGUACCACAAGCACAACAGAGCAGCACAAAGAAGCAUCAGCUAGGCAGGCUCUGCAGCUGCACAUAUUCUGGCACAUAUUUCACACACAGCCAAGUGUCUUCUCUGAGAAGUAUUUUUCACUUGGCUACAAGGGAAUUCUGUCUUAAAGUCCAGUCAAGUGAGACAACUGGUUUUAUAAUCUAGCACACAUUGAUGCUUGUGUCAGCAAGACGUAAAAGAGCAAGAUGAAUUAUUUCAGCAAGACGAAAAUUGCACAUGACAAAGGCCUUGUUAUGCCAGGAUGCAAGAAGAGAGGUGAAGAGAUUGGCGUUUUGAUUGGAGUUUUUACUACCUUUUUUUUUUAAUGAUGCAGAAAAACAAACAGAAAAUGUAAUGGACAUUUUCUGAGUUGAGCUGGUUCUUGUUAUGUUGUUUGCCUAGAGUGAUAGUAUUAAACAGCUAUUCACAGCUGCUUCACAUUCACACUGUGCUGUCAUUUAGCACUGUUACUGGGCUUCUGGGAACUCUUGGAGAUAAUGACACAUGCUUUCAUUUUAGGUAGCAUUAUUUGCAUGUUCUUAAAAUCCACUAGAGAAUGCAUCAAUUAACAUAUCCCAGAUAUUAAUCCAUAAAGCUUCCUUGUAUUUUUGGUGGUUGUCAUUUAUUGCUUUUAAGCAGUCCUAUCCUUUCUGCUUUUGUUAAAUAUUAGUUUAUUUAAUCAGAGAUCUGCUGGUUAAUCUAAAAAUUUUUAAAAAUAAUUUAAAAACCAAAAAAAAUAAACCAGGGAGAAUUUUUAAAAGUCCUGAAGAACUGAGGAAUUUUUAUUGGGCAGAGACAGGAAAGUGAAAAGUGAGAGGGGUUUUUUUAGCUUCUAUUUAAAUAUAUUAUAAAGCAUAGAUCUGUGACAAUUUUACAAUUUUGUUUUUCUUUUCUUUAACUAUCAAUACUAAAUAAUUUGAUAUUAAAUUUGUCAGACAUUAAUGUGUUGGGUUUGCAUGGGUUGGAUUCUGUGACAAGCUGUCAGGAAAUUCCCCCAUGUCUGAGAGAGUCAGUGCCAGCCAGCUCUGGGACAGACCUGCCAAGGCUGAGCCCCUCAGAGGCAGUGGUGACACCUGUGGUGUAAGGGUGGGGUGGAGGGCAGUAAUCUACAACUGCAGCUGAAGGGAGUAGAGAGAAUACAUGAGAAAAACGUCUGAGCAGAUUUUGGUGCAGGAAAGGUGCUCCAGGUACAGGAGCAGAGGUUCCCCUGCAGCCUGGGGCAGACCAUGGUGAGGCAGCUGUGUCCCUGCAGCCCAUGGAGGUCCAGGCUGGGGCUCUGUAUGGUUAAGGGUUAGGUUAUGCAGUUAGGAAAAAAUCUUUUUAACUAUUGAACAGAUGUUGAAUAGUAUAGAAGUUUGGCUCAUUUGUUUGAACCUGCUUAUUUUUUUUUUUUUCUUUUCUCCAAGAUCAAUAUAACAUUGUAAGUGUAAUGUCUGGCUUUUAAAAUGCUCAGCAAGCAUUUUAAAAGCAAAAUUGUGAUAUUUCAGUUAUGCCUUAAGAUUGCAUAAAAAUCUCUUGCAAGAAAUCUAUGAAAGUUAUGUACGUUACCCAUUUAUAAAUAAUUUAAGGAAAAACAACAACAAUAACCAACAAAAGUCUUUCUGCAUUUCCUAGCAGCUGUUUGUCAGGUGUCUUAUCUUCAGCACAAUUAAGAGGGCUUUAAAAAAAAAGGAUUGUUCACACAAGGACAGAUUGUCAGCAUGUGAAGUCUUGAUUUUUAUUCAGGGUCAUUGAAAUGCAAGGUUCAGUCAGAUGAAAAAUCUGAAUAAAAAUUUUCAAAACAUCUCCAUUCAACUCUUCUUUGUAACCAUAUCAUAGGAUUGUAAAGACUCUAACUGAACAUUCAUAGAAGUUCUGUGAAAUGUACUAGAUAAUCACAAGGUAAGGGCCAAACAAUCUCAGGACAUUAUUUUCCAAUAGCUGUGUGUUCAGUGCCUUUUUCAGCAGGAUUUUAGUCUGAUUUUGCAGUUCCGGUGAGCCAAAGCAAUGCAAAUACUGCAGGCAGAGGUCUUCCAGUUUGUAUGCCUCUAAGAAUUACUGAAAGAAAGUGGAGCAGUAAGGGUGUUUCUUGGCCUGCCAAAGACGUCCUCCACCAUCUGGAUAAGCACAAAUAGUCCUUCUAUAAAAAAUGCUUUUACAUAUACAGUUAAUUAUUGUAAUUUUGACACAGAAAAACCUUUUUAUCUUAAAUAAUCCUACCAUUUCUAUAUGAAGGUGUCUGAAUGAAUGUGCAAAAUGAUAUGAACAAUAGUCAUGUAAAGUGUACUGAUAAAAUUAAUGUUUCUGGAAAAUAAAUCAAAGAAGAAACUUGCCUAAAUCAUACUUAUGGCAAAUUGUGAUGCAGAGAGGAGAAUUUUGAUUUUCAAAGUCAUAGGCUUUAUGAUUCUCCUACCAGAAAGAUUUCUCUCAUGGAAACAAAAUCACCCAAAAUAAAGAAAAAGCAGAGGAAAGCCCAUGGAUUGAAAAUGCUAAUCAAAAGUUAAUCUAAAAAUAUACAGAAUUUAAUAGAACGUAAUAAUUAUGUCAUUAUUUUUGAAACUGUAACAUAGAAUUUUACUCAAGAUAUUAAAGGCUCUUAAAAUUUAAAUUAUUACCCUUACCCCAAACAGCAGGUGUGCCCCAGAAAGUACAGCAAGGACAGCAGCACAGCACUGGCUCUUGGAGAGGCUUUGUUGAGCUAGACCUGUGGGUCACAUUCUUACAACAUUUACAUGUGUUCACAUUAAAAAAUACCGUGAUAUGGAAACAGAUCUAAAGCUCAACUUGUACUACAUUUUAUUACCUUAUUAUUAUAUUGUAGGUCAGUAUGCAUAAAAUAGGCUAUAUACCUUAAAUAACUAAUUUAAUCAUUCUGGAUUUAUUGUGACAACCACCCAUGAGACAGAGGUGUCCAGAUAUGGCACCUAGGCUGACCAUAGCACUGCUUGAAAUCAGAGGCAAUAAGGCAAUAAUUUGUAAUUCAACCAACCAUAUCAAGCAGUGAAAUGGAUUUAUGAUGGUGUUCGUAGGAGAACUGAAGGUCAGUUUUCAGCAGUGAAGGUGCUGUUGACUGCAGAAGUAUGUGAUGAAAUUAUAUAUAAGUUUCUGUCAUCCUUAAGAAAAAGAAAAGGAACUGAAUGAGCUUCCAUUCUGUGGUUUAAAUUAUUCUCUGUCCUUUCUCACAAGACAAAAUGGAAGAUCAUAGCAAAAGAAUGAUACACUGUUAUUUAUUUUCAUUUCUCUUUUCUGAAAAUAAAAAUAGCAAUAUGUCUGCCUGAAUCUAAUGUUAGGAAGAUAUUUCAUAACUUAGAUUUUUUUAAAUAUUUCACCAAUAAAAUUGACAAUAAGCAUUAAAAAAUCAAAAACAAUAUUGCCACUGAUAUCUUCUGCACAGAUGGACAGGAUCUUUCCAAUGGUUGUUUUUCAGACUACUGCAAAAAUUGGAAUGUUUGGCAACUAAAUGCUAUCAAAGUUCUGUGGGAGAGAGGAGAUCCUGCUGUCUAAUAUCUGUUGCCUGCUAGGAUCUUAUCUACAGAUGCUCACCUGAGUAAACUUCUCUAAAGCUGCCAGUAUAAAUAUCGGCAAAUCUACAACAGAUGCACCAGUGCACUAUGGGAACAAUUCUUGAUGGACUUUUAACCAACAAUUCUCCCUUUUUCACCAUAUUUUUUUCUUUUUGAUCUUGAGAUGCGCAUCUGUGCCAUCUUUACUGCAAUGCUGUACUUCACCUUUAUGCAGAGGGUCUUAUCCUGUCUGAUCCCUGCCUUGUAGUCCUAACUGUGAAAAUUCUUUUGCACAAUGUGUAAAUUGUUCUUCUUUUUAAAAUAAAAGUGAAAAAAAUUCAAAUUUUUAUGAAAUUCUAAGAGGUGGGGGGAAGCAACAUGUAUGUCUAUGAGGCAGUCCUCAAGAUUUUUUUUUUUUAUUAUUCUUGUGGCUAAAAAUUGAAAGUCUCACCAAUGCAGAAAAAAAUUUCAAUUCCAUAGAAACUCUUCUGGCAACUGAGCAUUUGACUUGACAAUUAUUACAGUGACACUGAAGUUUGCCAAGAUGAUAUCCAAACACUAACUGAAUUUAAUCUGUUGUCCUACCAACUCAGCUUUUAAAGCACAAGCUAUAAUGAAGGCUGAGACCCAAAGCUUUAAAGACUCAAGGAUCAAUUGUUAUCAUAACAACAGAAGGUGCUUAGCAAUUUGAGGAUUGUCAGAAAGAAGUAUGAUGUGUAUUAAUUUGACUAUGUAGCAUAAAAGAUGCAGGAUGAAACAAAUAAAUAGUGACUUUUCAUUUAGUCCUUGAUUGACUACAUUCCAGAUAUGCUGAAAGCAUAAAUUAAUCAAAACUAGAUCUACAAUGGAAAGGAAGAAGGUCUAAUCCUUUUGCUAAUCCCCAAUAAAGGAAUACAGUACUGUAUGAUGCAGUAACUAUUUUAAUGUCUACUUGCAUAACUGUGCUGCAUUCUACAAUAAACAUCAUGCAUUAUAUACACUCUUCUUAUUCUCUUUGAACAGAUGUCUGUAGUUCAGAAGAAUAUUUUGCAAGACAGACAUUGGAAUAACAGUUUGUGUUUUAUAAAAAUAAAUGAGGAAGGAAUAACACUGACUAAAAUCUUACCAAAGCUUAGACACCUGGAUAGCCCACCAGUAUAACUGUUUCCUUGGCAUGCUUCUCCCAGAGUGGCUUCAGUGAGCAGCUGCCAGAAGAUUCCCCUAUGUCCAAUUGAGCCAAUGCAGUUGGCUCCAAGAUAGACCUGCCACUGGCCCAGGCUGAAUCCACCAGCGACGGUGGUAGUGCCUCUGGGUUAGGCAUAUAUAAAAA